UGGGGAAUAUUGGACAAUGGGCGAAAGCCUGAUCCAGCCAUGCCGCGUGUGUGAAGAAGGUCUUCGGAUUGUAAAGCACUUUAAGUUGGGAGGAAGGGCAGUAAGCGAAUACCUUGCUGUUUUGACGUUACCGACAGAAUAAGCACCGGCUAACUCUGUGCCAGCAGCCGCGGUAAUACAGAGGGUGCAAGCGUUAAUCGGAAUUACUGGGCGUAAAGCGCGCGUAGGUGGUUAGUUAAGUUGAAUGUGAAAGCCCCGGGCUCAACCUGGGAACUGCAUCCAAAACUGGCGAGCUAGAGUAGGGCAGAGGGUGGUGGAAUUUCCUGUGUAGCGGUGAAAUGCGUAGAUAUAGGAAGGAACACCAGUGGCGAAGGCGACCACCUGGGCUCAUACUGACACUGAGGUGCGAAAGCGUGGGGAGCAAACAGG
rnacentral:rRNA from 1 species